rnacentral:tRNA from 1 species
UCCUCGUUAGCAUAGUGGUGAUUAUCCCUGCCUGUCACGCGGGAGACCGGGGUUCGAUUCCCCGACGGGGAG